AAGUUGAGUUUACAAUAGCUACAGGGAGCGUGGAGGUGGAGACAGUAGGGUUCCGUUUGUUAAACAAGCAAGACAUCAAACCAAAGACUCGGAGGAUUGGGAGGAAGUCUGGGACGAUGGGACACGGGCAUAGAUUGUGAGGAAUCCAGUCAAGAGAAUUUUUUUCCUCAUCUUUUACCUGGUUAUCGACGUGUUCACCUGACAAACCAAGGAUUUGGAGAGUAGAAAUCAUCCAGUCACUAACAAGAUGCUGAAUGAGAAAAAACAGUCAAUGAUCAUAGGUUACUCUUAAAAAGCAAUUUGUGUCAAAUCUUGAAAACAAGAGAAUUGAUCUCUUUGAUCGUGGCACCAAAGGAUGUGGGGAAGAUAAUGUCUUGCUAGCACCGUGUAAGUGUACAUCUUUUUCACCCAUGUGCUAGUUUUCACUAAUGUGUCUACUACUCUUGGCUGCCUUUCAUGCUAAAAUAAGAGUUAGUUAUGGGUUUAAAUAGUCAUACAAACCUAUGGCUUAUGCAUUUUUGUUGUAAUUCUUGGAUACCUGAUAAACACAUUUCUAUUUGGUUGUGGAUUUGUCCUAGAAUUUUGUCUAAUAGAAAUAAUUAUAAUAGUUUCUGUAUCAGCUGAAAAGAUGCCAGCUUCAUAUGCCUCACAGUGAAGUUGGUUUGGGUAGCUACUUUAGUGGUUGUGUUUGAUGUAAUGUGUAUUACAGAUGAAGUUACCGUGGAUGGCUGCUAUUUGCUGGUGCAAGUAACUCUUUAAAACCCUAUGCUCUUGGCCAAAUUGAUGGCUUUAAUGAUAUUUUGAUGAUUUUAUAGUUUUUUUAUUUUUAUUUUUGAGAAUUCUUUUUAUACAAUUUAGUGAGUGCACAAAAACACACAUGAUAAGUUAAGAUAGAAAUGAUAAUAUGAAAAAACCACUCUCCUUGACAUUGUGAAAUCAGUGUCACAGCAGUAUUGUGUCUAAAGUAUAUUUGUUAACAUCUACCUUUUUUAUGGUUCAGAAAUUGUAAAUUGCUGCUUCUAAAGUAACCAAUGCUUUCCUUUAAGUUUAAUCGGGAAUCAUGCCCUAUUUUUGAUAUAUUUCAUAUCAAUAUAUGUUGCUUCAAGUACUUUAUAGUUUAUAUGUUAAAUGUUUCUCAUUUAUGAAGUAUAUUUAAUGCUAAGGCAGUGGCUAUAAGCAUGCUGCCAUGAGAAAUCAACAGCUAAUAGAUAAUGGAAACCGGAUAUGGAUGAGACUGAUCAAGCCAUUGGGGGUUAAAAGGGGUAGGAUUAUCUCUCAUAAUCAUUUUGUGAGGAAAUUAGUUUUAUUUAUUUUGGUGAGUUGAAAAGGGAUAAGUUUUGUAGGCUAUUUUGAAGUGUGAUCAUUAAUUCCUCUCAUUCUCCUCUAUUUCCUUAUAGAAGGUUACAGGUGGAAUUGUAUCUUGUAUUUCUAAAACGUACUAGUUUUUUUAGCUUUGCCUUGAACAUCAUUUGCACUAGUUUGCAUCAAGACCUAAACAAAUUAUGGAAUGUUUAUUUUCAAGUGUAUCAUUAUUUCCUAUCAUUCUUCUCUAUUUCCUUGUAGAAGGUUAUAGGUGGAAUUUUAUCUUGUAUUUCUAAAAUGUACUAGUCUUUUUAGCUUUGCCUUGAGCAUCACUUGCACUGGUUUGUAUCAAGACCUGAACAAAUUAUGGAAUGUUUUUAACUAACUCAUAUCUCCCCCCACCCCCC